ACAUCCAAAAGCACUCACAAUAAAUAACAUUUUAUAUUUAAUGCUGUUUUGCUGAUAAAUGCAUUUGCCACAGCACAGCAAGAUCCUGCAAAGAGCUCCAAGGUACUUGACUGGUUAAUCUGUGUCUGCUGGUGUUUGUUGAAGGAGGAAAGCUGGUCGGGAUGUGGAGAAUCUCCCUCCUUCUACUUUGAACGGUGUGACGGGAUCUCUAGCAAGCAGUUGAGCAGAUUAUCGAUAUGCCUUAAAGUACUGAGUGAAGGAACUUCUGGGAAUAUUGUGGCCUGUAUUUUGGAGUCACAUUAAGUAGUCUUACGCUGACUGCUGACCUUGAACGACGUGGCCAAUAAGGAUUUUGGACUGUAUCUGCUCUGCCCAGGACUGUAAGAAACUACAGAAGGUGGUGUGUACAGCCCAGACCAUCCUGGAAGCCAACCUUCCAUCCAUGGACACCAUUAACACAGCUCAGUGCCACAGAAAGGCCACUAACAUCGUCAAAGUCCUAUUGCACCCUGGUAAUGAUCUCCUACAAUCUCUUCAGCCAGACAGAAGAUACAGGUGCUUGAACACAUGCACCAGCAGGUUCAUGAACAGCUUCUUCCUGGCCUUUAUUAGAAUGAUGAAUGGACUGUCUAACUUCAAAUAAUGCUGACCUUGCUAAAGUUGAUCUUACCUAGCGCAUGCCCUGUACAAUGUAACCUGUAUGUCUCUAAGAUUUUUUUUCACACUAUGAUCUGUCUGUCCUUGCUUACAAUGAUCUGCCUGUACUGAUCAUAAGCAAAGCU